AAGUCUGGUGCCAGCAGCCGCGGUAAUUCCAGCUCCAAUAGCGUAUAUUAAAAUUGUUGCGUCUAAAAAGCUCGUAGUUUGAAAAUUUGCCUUGGCUUACAUUAGGUUCUUAAUUGGGGCCGCCGUGAGUUGAAGGCAAAUGCCGAUGACUGUUUUUGCCGACUUCAUUGUUUGGCUUAUAAGAGUUAUCAAAUAUCACUUUGAUUAAAUUAGAGUGCUUAAAGCAAGUGUUUUUACUUGAAUAUAAAUGCAUGGAAUGAUGGAAUAUGUUGUUGUUCUAUUUGUUGGUUUUUGAACGAUAAAAUGAUUGAAAGGAACUGUUGGGGGCAUUCGUAUUGUUGUGAGAGAGGUGAAAUUCUUAGACCACAGCAAGACGAACUACUGCGAAAGCAUUUGCCAAGAAUGUUUUCAUUGAUCAAGAACGAAAGUUAGAGGUUCGAAGGCGAUCAGAUACCGCCCUAGUUCUAACCAUA
rnacentral:rRNA from 1 species